rnacentral:rRNA from 1 species
AUUGAACGCUGGCGGCAGGCCUAACACAUGCAAGUCGAGCGAGCGGCGGACGGGUGAGUAAUGUCUGGGAAACUGCCUGAUGGAGGGGGAUAACUACUGGAAACGGUAGCUAAUACCGCAUACCAUCAGAUGUGCCCAGAUGGGAUUAGCUAGUGGGUGGGGUAAUGGCUCACCUAGGCGACGAUCCCUAGCUGGUCUGAGAGGUUGACCAGCCACAAUGGAACUGAGACGCGGUACAGACUCCUACGGGAGGGAGCAGUGGGGAAUAUGGCACAAUGGGCGCAAGCCUGAAGCAGCCAGGCCGCUUGUGUGAAGAAGGCCGUCGGGUUGUAAAGCACUUUCAGCGGGGAGGCGUUACCCGCAGAAGAAGCAACGGCUAACUCCGUGCCAGCAGCCGCGGUAAUUC